rnacentral:rRNA from 1 species
AUUGAACGCUGGCGGCAGGCUUAACACAUGCAAGUCGAGCGGAGCGAGGGUGCUUGCACCUUAGCUUAGCGGCGGACGGGUGAGUAAUGCUUAGGAAUCUGCCUAUUAGUGGGGGACAACAUUCCGAAAGGAAUGCUAAUACCGCAUACGCCCUACGGGGGAAAGCAGGGGAUCUUCGGACCUUGCGCUAAUAGAUGAGCCUAAGUCGGAUUAGCUAGUUGGUGGGGUAAAGGCCUACCAAGGCGACGAUCUGUAGCGGGUCUGAGAGGAUGAUCCGACACACUGGGACUGAGACACGGCCCAGACUCCUACGGGAGGCAGCAGUGGGGAAUAUUGGACAAUGGGCGGAAGCCUGAUCCAGCCAUGCCGCGUGUGUGAAGAAGGCCUUUUGGUUGAAAAGCACUUUAAGCGAGGAGGAGGCUACUAGUAUUAAUACUACUGGAUAGUGGACGUUACUCGCAGAAUAAGCACCGGCUAACUCUGUGCCAGCCGCCGCCGUAACAC